GGGUUGUGAGGUUAAGCGACUAAGCGUACACGGUGGAUGCCCUGGCAGUCAGAGGCGAUGAAGGGCGUGCUAAUCUGCGAUAAGCGCCGGUAAGGUGAUAUGAACCGUUAUAACCGGCGAUACCCGAAUGGGGAAACCCAGUGUGAUUCGUCACACUAUCAUUACGUGAAUACAUAGCGUAAUGAAGCGAACCGGGGGAACUGAAACAUCUAAGUACCCCGAGGAAAAGAAAUCAACCGAGAUUCCCCCAGUAGCGGCGAGCGAACGGGGAGGAGCCCAGAGCCUGAAUCAGCAUGUGUGUUAGUGGAAGCGUCUGGAAAGGCGCGCGAUACAGGGUGACAGCCCCGUACACAAAAGCGCAUGUGUUGUGAGCUCGAUGAGUAGGGCGGGACACGUGGUAUCCUGUCUGAAUAUGGGGGGACCAUCCUCCAAGGCUAAAUACUCCUGACUGACCGAUAGUGAACCAGUACCGUGAGGGAAAGGCGAAAAGAACCCCGGCGAGGGGAGUGAAAAAGAACCUGAAACCGUGUACGUACAAGCAGUGGGAGCACCCUUUGGGGUGUGACUGCGUACCUUUUGUAUAAUGGGUCAGCGACUUAUAUUCUGUAGCAAGGUUAACCGAAUAGGGGAGCCGGAGGGAAACCGAGUCUUAAUUGGGCGUUAAGUUGCAGGGUAUAGACCCGAAACCCGGUGAUCUAGCCAUGGGCAGGUUGAAGGUUGGGUAA
rnacentral:rRNA from 1 species